rnacentral:lncRNA from 1 species
UAAACUCAGAAAUAAGUAUAUGCCUCCUUCGCCCAGCCGUCCUGACUUUCUUCCCUCCUUCCCUCAGAGGAUGUCCGCCUUCCAGAUCAACCUCAACCCGCUCAAGGAGCCGAUCGGCUUCAUCAAGGUCCUGCAGUGGAUUGCUUCCAUCUUUGCCUUUGCCACCUGUGGAGGUUUUAAGGGCAAAACAGAAAUUCUAGUGAAUUGUCCUCCUUUAAAAGUUAUUGAAAAUCAUACUGUUGAAGCUACUUUCGGUUAUCCAUUCAGGUUGAAUCAAGCAUCAUUUCGUUCACAUCCUGUUGUAAAUGUGUGCAAUGGAAAUUGGUCAAGUCAUUUCCUCAUAGGAGAUUACUCCUCUUCUGCACAAUUCUAUGUUACAUUUGCAGUCUUUGUAUUCUUGUACUGCAUUGCUGCCCUUCUGCUUUAUGUUGGUUACACAAAUCUAUACCGGGAUAGUCGUAAACUUCCCAUGAUUAUCUUUGGCUUUCUGAAUAUGAUACUUUGGGGAGGAAAUGCUUGGUUUGUGUACAAAGAGACAAGCUUACAUAGUCCAUCAAAUACUUCUGCUUCCCAUAGCCAAGGAGGUGUGCCACCUCCUGCUGGAAUAUAAUUGAAGGGAGAGAGAGUUACACUGUAUGAAGUAUGUGUCUGUACUAUGACUUGUUGCCAAUAUCUUCAGAAGCGCUUGUUUCUAAUAAAAGUAAUGGCUUUUUCAAUAAAUUGGUGGGUUUAAAAUUUUGCUGCUUUUUUUUUUUACAUAAAACUUGUGCCUUUCCUAAGAAUUUAAGAUGUAAAUGUAUACUGACAUGAAAAUUUGAAAAUUCAGGGGCCUAUUAUGAGAUGAUACACAUUUGUAAAUGAACAGUAAUUUCUUCAUUGUUUGCCUUCCAACAUGUUUACACCUUAAGCCUUAAUAGUUCAUUCAUAAAAUGGUUAUAUUAUCAUAUCAUAAUAGGAAAAAAAUCUUUAUUUGGAAUAAACACUACUGUAAGUUUGUAUAGAUCAUAUACCUAAGACCUAUGUUUAAGAAAACCCUUAUAAAUCAUAUUUAGAAAAAAACAUAUUUAGUUCAAAUUUUAUAUCUGAACAUUCUUCAUAUUCUAAAACAAUUUGUACUUGCAAAGAUUAGGUAUGUUUUCUUUUUCUUUUUCUAAAUGACCUGCUGUACUUUAUAGAUGUACUAAAAUUGUGUUAGGAGCAGAGAUUUAGAAAUUUCUAACACAUGUGUGGUUAAGUACUUCUGUUGCAUGAUGUGUAAGCUUCCAUUAUACUGGUGGUUUAAUAGGCUUGGCAUAUAAGUAGAACACAGUUCAGCUAGGUGGUAUUAUAUGAAUAGGCAUUAUUCAAUGAUAUUUGUUUGCUGUGUUUUGUUGCUUAUGCCAUCUAAGUGCAGGUUGAGACCUAGUCUCCUUGCAAGUAGAAUAAAUGAUCUACCCUUUAUUGCAGACCCUAUGCAGAGGGUUAAAAAAAAAAUUAAGAUUGUCUUAUACUUUGGAAACAUUUAACAUUUAGAGUCAAUGAAGUUGCCACUUUGAGUUUAGUGUUGAUAUUUGUGAAGAUAAAUGUCAUUUAAAUUUUGCAUUUUUAAUAUUCGUUCUUUUUUCACAAGUGGAUGAUUAAGGAAUUAUGCAUCAUAAAGGAACCUAAGAAAGCUAUAUUAUGAGUGUACUGUCUUUUCACAUAUAUUUUGGGUAUAUUCCAAAUACAGUACUUAUUCAUAUUUUGCUUCCUAAUCUUUUUGUUGUACAGGGAUCCAGACUUCCUAUUCUUAAACAUGAUUGUUUAUAUGUGAAGCAUAUCUUGCUAUUGCCUUAUUUUUGUUGCUUUUAUUCAUGGCAAAAAUUGUCAAUAUGAGAAUGAAUGUGUUUUAUGCAACAAACUUAAUAAAGAAGUUUAAAGAGUGAAAAAAAAAG